rnacentral:sRNA from 1 species
CUUAAAGGACGUUGGAAGUCAUAACUGGUUGCAGCAGUCAGUUUUGCUCAUGGUCCUGCUCUGGCUCAGCUACAUGAAGUUCAGGCUGCCUGACAUCUGCAAAGAGGGUGCAGCUUCAGUGAAUAAAACUUUCACCCCUGGAAUGUUUUGUGCUAUGCCUGUGAAGGGGACAGGUCACCAACACAUUCUCAGCCAAUCAGCAAGAGAUGUGC